GUGGGUGUAGCUUGGUGGUACAGCACAUGCUUAGCAUGCAUGAGGUCCUGGGUUCAAUUCCCAGCACCUCCA
rnacentral:tRNA from 1 species